AACACAUACUCUGUCACAUAUAACAAGGAGUUUGACUUUCUCCCUCAACCUCAAGUGCCUCCUUGGCUCAUCCUUGACAUUAAGGCCCUUGUCAGAGGGUGAAUGGACAGCAAGAGGAAUGAAGUCCCAGAUGCUAAUGGCUAGCCAGAGAUGCCUGUUUCCAGAAAGACAUAAAAGCCUGCCAUGUAUGACCCUCCAUAUACACACACGCUUACCAUCAAGGCUUGCAAAAAGGAGUUGGACUCAGUAAGCCCACCCCUAAUAAAUCUGGUCUGUUGUUGGUUAUACCACAUAAAGUUGCUGCUCUUUGUUUUUGACCUACCCAAAUGGCAAUCUCAUAUGGUUCAACCUAAUAUAUCUGAGAAUAUACACAAAAAGUCCAUAAAUAAAUGGAGAGUUUGGAUCAACCAACCCACGCAUCAGGUCAUCUCCCUCAUGUAAUCUCAGGGGGGCAGGGCUGGAACGUGAUAACAAUUGAAUGGUCAGCAACCUAAUCAGUUGUACUGUAUGGAGAAAGCAUGAAACAAGAAUGAGAGAGAAGGCUGGAGAAGAGAAAGCAAAAAGAAGUAGGGUAAAGCCCAGAGGCCAGAGCUGACACUUAUUAUCCACCACUGUCCAGGAAAGAGCAAAUGAAACUGGAGCUCAUACAGAUGUGCCCUGCUGUGAAGUAAAGAUGACUCACUAAGCCCCACCCUGAUUUGAAAGAAAUCUGCCUAGGCCAACUCUUGGGAUACACUCAGUAACCAGCCAGCUGAUGGGUGAUUUGGCUUUCUGAUUGCUGAUAUUGAGAAAAGGGUGCUCCAGUUGAGGGAGGAGCAUUCCAGCUCUUGAAGGACUAAUACCAACUGUUAAUGAAUACGCUCGGAAGAUUAUCUAACACCUGGAAUUUGUACUUGGAGAUUGGCUUCACGCAGCAGGGAUGAAUGGGGACACUAAGGAAGACUGCAGAGCAGCAGUGGCUGCAGUUUCUAAACUGCCUUUUGGGACAAAGUGGCAAAGGAGAAAAUUUUUGCAAUGUUGUGGUUGAGAGUGAAUAUUUAGAACUCAAGGCUGAGGGCGACCUUGGUGGUUGUGUGUGGUUUCUGCACUGUGGGGACAGAUGCCUCAUUUAUGGAUGCAGACUUUGUCCAGCUGGGAAAGGUCUACCAGGACAGGGAAGUUGACGAAAUGCUGCAGUCUCCAUUCCUCAUUGGUGAUUUCAAAGUGUACAACCCUGCUCAAUGCUCUGAGAAGUCCUGCAGGAAAGGAACCUGCUUUAGGGUUUUUGACCCUGUGUUUCCCAAAGUUAUUUGACCUCAGAAUUCUUUUUCCCUCUUCAUAGCCCUCAUUUAUACUCUGUGAAAGCCACGUUUCCAACAACCCACUUGGAAAAUGCUAUCCCAAUGUCCAGAGGAACUGGUUCUCACCCUUAAUGCCUCACGGUGAGCAGUGAUGGGGAUAUUCUGGCAGGACACAUGAUGUGGAAUCCUGCUGUGAUAAUCCAGGAAAUAAAAUUGUGUAUUGUGCCUGUUGGGCCCCUUCCCAUA